GAGCUACUCCCUCCGUUCUGAAUUACUUGUCUCGGAAUUGGAUGUAUCUAGAACUAAAAUACAUCUAGAUACAUCCAUUUCUACGACAAGUAAUUCCGAACGGAGGGAGUAGCUC
rfam:Triticum aestivum genome assembly, contig: Triticum_aestivum_CS42_TGACv1_scaffold_558709_7AL